rnacentral:lncRNA from 1 species
UUAUUGUGAAAUGAGUUUUGCGUGUUUAACUUUAUUUAAUAUUUUAUAUACAGUCCAGUCAGUUGCAACAACAGUUAAACCAGCAGGAAACAGCCAAGUACACAUGCAAGUGAUACUUCUAAUUUAUUUAAUCAACAGAAAGCUAAAAGUGAUUCAGUAAACUUGAUCAUUAAACAUUCGGGUUUUAAUGAUACGAACGGUUUAUUAUUAAAUGCGAUUCUUGAAGAAGGUGCAAUAGGAUUGUAUAAAUAUAAAGAUGAUAUUUCACCUAAAAUAUUUAAAAAAACAGAAUCAUCAUUGAAUGAACUAAUAUCUAGAAAUUACCAAAAUAAUUACAAUCAAGACUC